rnacentral:rRNA from 1 species
AGAGUUUGAUCCUGGCUCAGGAUGAACGCUAGCGACAGGCUUAACACAUGCAAGUCGAGGGGCAGCAUGAUUUGUAGCAAUACAGAUUGAUGGCGACCGGCGCACGGGUGAGUAACGCGUAUGCAACUUACCUAUCAGAGGGGGAUAGCCCGGCGAAAGUCGGAUUAAUACCCCAUAAAACAGGGGUCCCGCAUGGGAAUAUUUGUUAAAGAUUCAUCGCUGAUAGAUAGGCAUGCGUUCCAUUAGGCAGUUGGCGGGGUAACGGCCCACCAAACCGACGAUGGAUAGGGGUUCUGAGAGGAAGGUCCCCCACAUUGGUACUGAGACACGGACCAAACUCCUACGGGAGGCAGCAGUGAGGAAUAUUGGUCAAUGGCCGAGAGGCUGAACCAGCCAAGUCGCGUGAAGGAAGAAGGAUCUAUGGUUUGUAAACUUCUUUUAUAGGGGAAUAAAGUGGAGGACGUGUCCUUUUUUGUAUGUACCCUAUGAAUAAGCAUCGGCUAACUCCGUGCCAGCAGCCGCGGUAAUACGGAGGAUGCGAGCGUUAUCCGGAUUUAUUGGGUUUAAAGGGAGCGCAGACGGGUCGUUAAGUCAGCUGUGAAAGUUUGGGGCUCAACCUUAAAAUUGCAGUUGAUACUGGCGUCCUUGAGUGCGGUUGAGGUGUGCGGAAUUCGUGGUGUAGCGGUGAAAUGCUUAGAUAUCACGAAGAACUCCGAUUGCGAAGGCAGCCUGCUAAGCUGCAACUGACAUUGAGGCUCGAAAGUGUGGGUAUCAAACAGGAUUAGAUACCCUGGUAGUCCACACGGUAAACGAUGAAUACUCGCUGUUUGCGAUAUACUGCAAGCGGCCAAGCGAAAGCGUUAAGUAUUCCACCUGGGGAGUACGCCGGCAACGGUGAAACUCAAAGGAAUUGACGGGGGCCCGCACAAGCGGAGGAACAUGUGGUUUAA